AUGGCGGACUUCGCGCUUGGAUUGACCAAGACGGUUGUGGAGGGGACGCUGAGCAGGGUCCAGUUGGCAAUCGAUGAAGACAACAAGCUGAGGGUGACGGCGAAGCAAGACCUGCGGUACAUCACAGCCGAGUUCCAGAUUAUGCAGUCCUUCCUGAAGGUCGUCAACAAGGAGCGUGCCAAUAAUGAAGUGGUGAAGACCUGGGUGAAGCAGCUCCGAGACCUUGCCUUUGAUGUCGAAGACUGUGUUGAGUUUGUUAUCCACUUGGACAACAACUCGCCCUUGACCUGGUUGUGGCGCCUGCUGCCGUCCUGCGUGGCACCACCUCGAUCUCGGGACCUGGACAAGGCGGUCGCAGAGUUAAAGGAGCUGAAGGCGAGGGUCGAGGAUGUAAGCCAGAGGAACACACGCUAUAACCUCAUCAAUGACUCUGGCUCCCAAGCCAAGACCACCAUGCUGACCGACCAGUCCUCCAUGGCCACCACCAACCCAUCAACAUUUCACAUGCUAACUGAGGUCUGGGAGGCUGCUGGGAAGCGAGACAGCCUGAGUGACCUACAGAAGUUGAUCAUGGGUGAAGGCAGUGACCUUCAAACGAUCUCUGUAUGGGGAAGUACGGCAGCUGAUCUUGGGACAAUGUCCAUUUUCAGCAUGAUGUAUGCUGACCCAGAAAUCUGCGGAGCAUUCAAAAGACGUGCAUGGGUAAAGUUGAUGCAUCCUUUCAAACCUGAUGAGUUCCUCAAGAGCUUGCUUACUCAGUUCUACGUGAGCUCUCACCAAGAAAACAUAGAUGUGGACCAUCUCACGAAGGCCGAGCUCAUGCAGCAAGUGAAGGCGCACAAGUAUCUCAUCAUUCUAGAAGAAGUAUACAGUGUGGUGGACUGGGAUGCCAUCCGAGUGUGCCUGCCGGACAAUGAGAACGGCAGCCGAAUCAUCGUGUCGACAAAGCAAUUAAGAACUGCACUCUUGUGCACAGGAGGGGCAUACCAAGUUUCAGAGCUCAGGAGAUUCUCUGAUGAUCAAUCUCUUUGUGCCUUUUCCAAGAAGGUAGGGCGUCAGAGUGGCAUGCGAGACCUUAUUUGGCAAAUAAGGUGUCGUGGUGUGAUUUCAGUAUGGGGGCUUAGCGAUGACAAAUCAACACUCAUCAAUGAAGUGUACACCAGCAUAGUGUAUAAGCAUAAACAAUUCGACGGAAUUGAGUUUCGACGACACAGCUGGGUAGACAUACCAGUUCCUUUCAAUUUGGAGGUCUUCUGUCGGCGCUUACUUGUAAGUUUUCGUUCAGAAGAUCUCCAAGCUGAAGAAAUCGCGGUGGUUGGUAUGAUGGCAGAGCCGGGAUUAACCCAAGAGUGUUGCAAAUUUCUGUGUGAAAAUGAUUGCUUCGUCGUUAUUAAUGAUCUGCAGUCCACACAUGAUUGGGACUUGAUAAAAUCUGCCUUCUUGUCCAGGCCUAUUAAAGGAUGUAUUCUUGUAAUUACAAAUGAAUCAAGUGUUGCCACACAUUGUGUAGAGGAGGAAAAUGGAGUUCUCAACAUCGAAGAUUUGAAAACCGACAUUAUGCUUCGCCCCUUGGUAAAGGGUUGCCAGAAAUAUGGAAUCGAAGGGAAGAGGCUACUAACAGGGGUCGCCUUUUCUCUAUCAGAUUGGGAGAGACACGUGAAUGGUUCACAAAAUUUGGACACAUGUAUCAGGAAGAAGUGCAUGAUCUUUUCUUACGCUUACACAGUCCUGCUGUGA
rnacentral:rRNA from 1 species